rnacentral:rRNA from 1 species
UACGUAGGGUGCGAGCGUUGUCCGGAAUUACUGGGCGUAAAGAGCUCGUAGGUGGUUUGUCGCGUUGUCCGUGAAAACUCACAACUCAAUUGUGGGCGUGCGGGCGAUACGGGCAGACUGGAGUACUGCAGGGGGAGACUGGAAUUCCUGGUGUAGCGGUGGAAUGCGCAGAUAUCAGGAGGAACACCGGUGGCGAAGGCGGGUCUCUGGGCAGUAACUGACGCUGAGGAGCGAAAAGCGUGGGGAGCGAACAGG